AAUGUAGAUAAGGGAAGUCGUCAAAAUAGAUCCGUAACUUCGGGAUAAGGAUUGGCUCUAAGGGUUGGGUACGUCGGGCUGUUGCUCGCAGCGAUGGACCUGGGACGGCACUACCGGAGAGGGGCAACUCUUUCUGGCGGAGCUGACUCGGGAUCGUCGUGAAAGGCUUCAGCUGCCGCAAGGCGUCCGGCGUACGAUUAACAACCAACUUAGAACUGGUACGGACAAGGGGAAU
rnacentral:rRNA from 1 species